AUAUUAAUUUUCAGGCAAAAAAGCACAAAAAAAGCAAAAUAAAUGAAAGGGAAGGCUUAAGUCAGUCUUGGUUCCUUUGAAUAGAAAGGACUCUGGAUUUAUUUUGAACAGCUGUGUUUAUUAGGUUUGCUGAUCACAGCAGUUGUAGCAGCUGAGUAAUAGGAAGGUUAAAUUUUAAAAACAGUUAACUUGGAAAUGUGAUUGCUCCUUGUAAAGAAUUAAUAUUAUUGUCCUUUUCUCCCCUCUCCUUCUCUAAAAUUUGUUGUCCUGAAGGCACAUUUAGGUCAUUAAGCAUCAGAGCCCUGACAGAGUUGCCUGAGGUGAAUAAACCUGCCUUUCUUCUAGACCCUGAGAAAUAUUUUAAGAAAGAGCCAGAGGAACAUCUCAGAAUUCCAGAGCUUCCUUUACUUUCUGAAACUUUGAAAGCUGUAUUUCAUGAGAAAAACCUGUUCCCCAAAGAAAUUCUGGAUCAAAAAAGAAAACCCAAGCAAUUAUGUCAAGAAACAACUUGUGAAGUGAAGAUAAAAAGAAGUAAGAAGCAAUUAUAAUUGAAAGAAAAAUAAAUAUUUCAUUGUCAUAUACAGUACUUACAUAAAAUGCCAGAAAAGAAUCAGGAAUUAUGCUCUUUUCUUUUAUUCUAAUUUGAA
rnacentral:lncRNA from 1 species